rnacentral:piRNA from 1 species
GUGAACAGUGAGUGACUUUGGUUUAGGAGC